AUUAAAACCUGGGGUUUUUAUUCCUGAGCCAAAUUUGUAAACAAGGCAUAGACCCAGACUUCUAAGCUGUCAUGGCAAAGGCUAGAAAAGGGGAAGAAACCAGUGCCAGCUCAAGUGAAGUGUAUGCUGUGAGUGUUGCUCUCAUUUCUAGCAGGGAGGACUUUGACAUUCUAAACCAGCAGCUCAGCCAUGGCCUCCAGAGGCCAAUGCAGCAGAAGCCCUUCAGAGAAAGAGGACCGUGGAAACUUGCCUUGUGUUGGUGGUACCUUCUGGUCAGGGCCCAGCAACAGUGGGACUGCAGGGAAGGGAAGCCACAGCCUUACGAAGUCACCAUCCAUUUUAGCAGCCAAGGCAGCUGCACACAGCAGAUUUGGUGA
rnacentral:lncRNA from 1 species